CCGUCUUGAAACACGGACCAAGGAGUCUAACAUGUGCGCGAGUCAUUGGGUCACACUAAACCUAAAGGCGCAAUGAAAGUAAAGGCAGCCUCGGGUUUGCCUAGGUAGGAUCCUUUUUUUCUCUUUUGAGGGGAGGCGCACUACCGGCCCGUCUCGUCCGCGUUGCGGUGAGGCGGAGCGAGAGCGUACACGUUGGGACCCGAAAGAUGGUGAACUAUGCCUGAGUAGGACGAAGCCAGAGGAAACUCUGGUGGAAGUCCGUAGCGAUUCUGACGUGCAAAUCGAUCGUCGAACUUGGGUAUAGGGGCGAAAGACUAAUCGAACCGUCUAGUAGCUGGUUC
rnacentral:rRNA from 1 species